rnacentral:rRNA from 1 species
UACGUAGGGUGCAAGCGUUAAUCGGAAUUACUGGGCGUAAAGCGUGCGCAGGCGGCUUUGCAAGACAGGUGUGAAAUCCCCGGGCUUAACCUGGGAACUGCAUUUGUGACUGCAUCGCUGGAGUGCGGCAGAGGGGGAUGGAAUUCCGCGUGUAGCAGUGAAAUGCGUAGAUAUGCGGAGGAACACCAAUGGCGAAGGCAGCUCGCUGGGACGGUACUGACGCUGAGGCGCGAAAGCGUGGGGAGCAAACAGG